rnacentral:rRNA from 1 species
GCGGCGUGCUUCAUACAUGCAAGUCGAACGCGAAGCAGGAGCUUGCUCCUGUGGAAAGUGGCGGACGGGUGAGUAACACGUAGGAAAUCUGCCUUUGGGUGGGGGACAACAGUUGGAAACGACUGCUAAUACCCCAUAUGAGCUUGGUUGCAAUACCAAUCUUGAAAACUCCGGUGCCUAAAGAUGAGCCUGCGUCUGAUUAGCUUGGUGGCGGGGUAAUGGCCCACCAAGGCGACGCUCAGUAGCUGGUUUGAGAGGAGGAUCGACCACAAUGGGACUGAGACACGGCCCAUACUCCUACGGGAGGCAGCAGUAGGGAAUUUUGCGCAAUGGUGGAAACCCUGACGCAGCAACGCCGCGUGAAUGACGAAGCCCUUCGGGGUGUAAAGUUCUGUCAGUAGGGAAGAAUUUUGACUGUACCUACAAAGGAAGCACCGGCUAACUCCGUGCCAGCCGCCGCCGUAA